rnacentral:rRNA from 1 species
UCGAGAGGCUUUGUCAAUGGGGGAAACCCUGACCCAGCGACGCCGCGUGAGGGAAGAAGGCCUUAGGGUCGUAAACCUCUGUUGUGUGGGAAGAAGAGCGUGACGGUACCACACGAGGAAGUCCCGGCUAACUACGUGCCAGCAGCCGCGGUAAUACGUAGGGGACGAGCGUUGUCCGGAUUUACUGGGCGUAAAGGGCGCGUAGGCGGUCAUUUAAGUCAGCUGUGAAAUGGUUUGGCUUAACCGGAUCAUGCGGUUGAAACUGGAUGACUGGAGUGCUGGAGAGGCAAGUGGAAUUCCCAGUGUAGCGGUGAAAUGCGUAGAUAUUGGGAAGAACACCGGUGGCGAAGGCGACUUGCUGGCCAGCAACUGACGCUGAGGCGCGAAAGCCAGGGGAGCAAACG